CUCGAGAAUCCAUGUAUCACUGCGCCGAGGCCAUGCGCCAUUUUGUGUACCUGAGUCAUUUGUAAAUUACGCUGGUUUCGAUGGCAAAUAACACGUCAAAUGGUCAUCUUUCUAUUUAUUAGUGACUGAAAUGGGAGCGAUUCCCUUCGUAUAGAAAUGUGUUUUCCUGUGGUUACGGUUCUUUUAGACCACACUGUAUCAUCGUAAUUUUACAUGUAGCAAACAGUACCCGUGCCUCUUAUAGAAAAGGGUUACUUUUAAAAUCGUAUUUACUACCCCAAUAUGUACGUAUUGUGGCACAUUGUAGUGUAGUUAGUACAAAUGAAAAUAGGGACUACAUAACAUGUUCAGCGAGCAGCGGAAGGUGACUAAAAAUGGUACACCUCUUUGUGACGUCACCGCGCGAGUACUCUAUAAGUACCCUCCUCCCAGGAUUUGUUGCGCAGUGCUACGUGGACGGUCGCGGAAGAGAGGCAGCGGUGGUGCAUUUCGUUAUGGUUUCUUUUACAUUGAGUAUUCCGACUACUUUAAAGGCUUUGGUAUCCUACAUGUGAGAGUUCUUGCGGCAUGCAUGGAAGAAGCACAGCAACAAUAGUAAAGACUUCUCUUGGUUCAUCUGUGAUCCAGAAGACUGAAAAAGGACUGCACUGCUCCAGCCUGUGGCAAAGUUGUUCUAUAGCACUCACUGCAGGCAACUAAUACUGGAUUUUCCUUGGACAGUUACUACUUUCUCCAGUUUUAUGUAUAUUAGACUUUCCCAUGUGCCAACAAGCCCAGACUUCCCAUGUUAGCUGGAUAAGUAUCAAAACAAACACCAAAUAUCCCACUUGGGAUUGAUUAAAUGUUUAGAUGUGUGGGGGUCAACCAUGAGAACUCUAACUUCAUGAGAAUAUUUAAUUUCAGCAUUUUUGUAUUGAAUUUUUGACAAUUGCAUAAUAGAAGUUAAAUCAGGUUAUCCUUGGUGUUAAUGCUACUACUGUUUUGCAGAUUGUUUUAGGUUUCAUUCAUAUCUGCACUAGUUUCCAUUCUGCUACGUCUUUAGAUUAAAAGGGUUAUCCAGUAUUAGAAAAAUGCUGCUUCUUUCUUGCAAACAAAAAAUGGCUCCACCCCUGUCCAAAGGCUGUGUCUGGUAUUGCAGCUCAGUGCCAUCGAGUGGUGAUGGUUUUGCAUAUAAGAAGCAUUGUAUUUUUUUUUUUUUUUAAAGCUGGUAGUUUAAGACAA